rnacentral:rRNA from 1 species
UACGUAGGGUGCAAGCGUUGUCCGGAAUUAUUGGGCGUAAAGAGCUCGUAGGCGGUCUGUCGCGUCUGCUGUGAAAACCCACAGCUCAACUGUGGGCUUGCAUUCGAUACGGGCAGGCUCGAGUUCGGUAGGGGAGACUGGAAUUCCUGGUGUAGCGGUGAAAUGCGCAGAUAUCAGGAGGAACACCGGUGGCGAAGGCGGGUCUCUGGGCCGAUACUGACGCUGAGGAGCGAAAGCGUGGGGAGCGAACAGG